CGCAUCGAUGAAGAACGCAGCGAAAUGCGAUAAGUAAUGUGAAUUGCAGAAUUCAGUGAAUCAUCGAAUCUUUGAACGCAUCUUGCGCUUCUUGGUAUUCCGAGGAGCAUGCCUGUUUGAGUGUCAUUAAAUUCUCAACUCCACUCCAGUUUUUUGAAGCUGGUGUUCGGGGCUUGGACAUUGGGGGUCUAUGCCGGCCUUUGUAAAACGAGGUCGGCUCCUCUGAAAUGCAUUAGCGGAA
rnacentral:rRNA from 1 species